AACACUGAUUUGAGCUACUUAUAUAUAGAACUUCAGACUAUGACUUGUACUCCAUGUUGGCUGUGAUAGAAGGCAAGAAACAACACCGAUUGAAGUAUACUUGCCAGCAGUACCCAACUGAAAGAUGUUGAAUAUGAGGAGCAUGGCCCACCAAGAGAGGUGUGUACAUUGUGGAUGCACUCAAGUCACAGUCUGAAUAGGUAGUGCUAGUAUGUGGUACCAGUUGUUAAUGUCCCUGGUUUUGUCUAUGCUAUAGAUAAACCCAGUGGAUUAAAAAACUGAUUUGAGCCACUCAGUCAUAAAACUUCAGACUGCGACGUGUACUCGAUCUUGGCUGUGAUGGAAGCCAAGAAACAACACCGAUUGAAGUACACUUGCCAGCAGUACCCAAUUGGAAGAUGUUGAAUAUGGGGAGCAUGGCCCACCAAGAGAGGUGUGAACAUUGUGGAUGCACUCAAGUCACAGUCUGAGUAGGUAGUGCUAGUACGUGGUACCAGUUACUAAUGUCCCUG